rnacentral:rRNA from 1 species
CGCCCUUCCUACGGGAGGCAGCAGUGGGGAAUUUUGGACAAUGGGCGCAAGCCUGAUCCAGCAAUGCCGCGUGAGUGAAGAAGGCCUUAGGGUUGUAAAGCUCUUUCAGAUGGGAAGAUAAUGACGGUACCAUCAGAAGAAGCCCCGGCUAACUCCGUGCCAGCAGCCGCGGUAAUAAGG